GUUCAAAUAGUUUAAUAAAAAUGCUGGUUUGUGAAGCCAGAGAUGUUGGGGCAACUUUGGGCA
rnacentral:tRNA from 1 species